rnacentral:tRNA from 1 species
GGGUUCGGCCGGGAUUUGAACCAGGGACCUCUCGCACCCUAAGCGAGAAACAUACCCCUAGACCACCGAACC